CAGUAGCCGCGGGAAUACGUAGGGUGCAAGCGUUAAUCGGAAUUACUGGGCGUAAAGCGUGCGCAGGCGGUUUCGUAAGACAGAUGUGAAAUCCCCGGGCUUAACCUGGGAACUGCAUUUGUGACUGCGAGGCUAGAGUGUGUCAGAGGGGGGUGGAAUUCCACGUGUAGCAGUGAAAUGCGUAGAUAUGUGGAGGAACACCGAUGGCGAAGGCAGCCCCCUGGGAUAACACUGACGCUCAUGCACGAAAGCGUGGGGAGCAAACAGGAUUAGAUACCCGGGUAGUCCCUGUCUCUUAACA
rnacentral:rRNA from 1 species